AUCCGACUGACGAGUCCCAAAUGGAACUAAACGCGUGUUUUGGAU
rnacentral:hammerhead_ribozyme from 1 species